GCUAAGGGGCUCCGUGCUUUUAAUAUAGUAUAGAUAUAAACAUCACUUACCUGUUAAAAGAAAUAUCUGAAAGAGUUUGAGUUGUUCUUCUAUAUUCUUAUUUUAUUCUCCUGGGAAAAAUGUUUAUACAUAAAUGAUUUGCUAGUCGUGUGUACUGUCAUGCUUACAAUAUUUAGAUGCUUAAGAAAUUACAUUUUUGGUGUAAGAGGAGGACCGUUGUACAGGACAUAGGAAACAUUUGGACUUUAUGGACUCCUUUCACUCAUAGUAGGAGACAUCCAGGACCACUUGUACAUUUUCUGCCACUGCUUAUAAAUGCAACAGAAAUGAAUAACAAGGCUGUCAGGUACAACGAUGAGUUGAAAAUCCUUGGGCAUUUCAAGAAAUAUGAUUUUGUGGUGGUGUUUGCAAAAUUUGAAGCGUGCUAGAGGCCCGUGAUGGAUCCUUGACUUGUUGGUGACCACGUUCCACAAUGUGAUUUAUGGUGAGCGAUAACUCUUGUCUGGCUAGCUAGGAGUAUGCCUCAUCAAUCUAUUCUGCAAAACACGGCAAGACAUUUUGAUUUGAUUAGGUUUUUGGAACAAUACUAUGUAUCGAGAUCUCGAUGAGAAAGGUAGAGAAAGAUAAUAAAGAGUAUUCUUGAAGAGAAUUGUGUAGGGAAUUGGAGGAGGCACUCUUUGUUAGUACUUUUUCAAGAGAAAAUGCAGGAGCCAGGAACAGAAGCUUGAUGUUUUUCUGGUGGAAAAUUGGUAUAGAAUUCUCAAAUCUGAUGCUUCUUUCCUGGAAUCACCAGGAAUGGAAUCCUCUUCUUUUUCUUUUCUUUUACCCCUACUAAUCUAUUUGGUACUGUAAAAAUGCAUGGGAAUUCCAAUUACUUUAUGAAAGAACUAUCCAACCAAGUUCUGAAAUCCCCAUUGCUUGUGUUCA